rnacentral:rRNA from 1 species
AUCGAUGAAGAACGCAGCGAAAUGCGAUAAGUAAUGUGAAUUGCAGAAUUCAGUGAAUCAUCGAAUCUUUGAACGCACCUUGCGCUCCUUGGUAUUCCGAGGAGCAUGCCUGUUUGAGUGUCAUUAAUAUUAUAUAUCAAACCCUCUUUCUCUGAGUGGUUUGGAUGUGGGGGUGCUGGCCUCUUGAAGGGGUCAGCUCCCCUGAAAUACAUUAGCAGAACGACCUGUUUGUUCAUUGGUGUGAUAACUAUCUACGCUAUUGAACAGUGAAGGCAGUUCAGCUUCCUAACAGUCUUUGGACAAUUUAUCAUCUAUGUGACCUCAAAUCAGGUAGGACUACCCGCUGAACUUAA